AAAGUCGUAACAAGGUUUCCGUAGGUGAACCUGCGGAAGGAUCAUUACCAAAAUCCACAACCAACACCCUGUGAAACCUGCCUUGUAUUUGUCCUGGCCCCGCAUUAGAGUUAGUUGAUUAAUUAAUUCAAAAGCGGGGCCAUGGCACACACACAAACCCCUUGGUCAACCUUGCAUCUCAAACUAUAUUCCAAUAAAAUAUAAAACAACUUUUAGCGGUGGAUCUCUCGGCUCGU
rnacentral:misc_RNA from 1 species